rnacentral:rRNA from 1 species
AGUGAACGCUGGCGGUAGGCCUAACACAUGCAAGUCGAACGGCAGCACAGUAAGAGCUUGCUCUUACGGGUGGCGAGUGGUGGACGGGUGAGGAAUACAUCGGAAUCUACUUUUUCGUGGGGGAUAACGUAGGGAAACUUACGCUAAUACCGCAUACGACCUACGGGUGAAAGCAGGGGAUCUUCGGACCUUGCGCGAUUGAAUGAGCCGAUGUCGGAUUAGCUAGUUGGCGGGGUAAAGGCCCACCAAGGCGACGAUACGUAGCUGGUCUGAGAGGAUGAUCAGCCACACUGGAACUGAGACACGGUCCAGACUCCUACGGGAGGCAGCAGUGGGGAAUAUUGGACAAUGGGCGCAAGCCUGAUCCAGCCAUACCGCGUGGGUGAAGAAGGCCUUCGGGUUGUAAAGCCCUUUUGUUGGGAAAGAAAAGCAGCAGGUUAAUACCCCGCUGUUCUGACGGUACCCAAAGAAUAAGCACCGGCUAACUUCGUG